rnacentral:rRNA from 1 species
GAUGAACGCUAGCGGCAGGCUUAAUACAUGCAAGUCGAGGGGCAGCAGGACUGUAGCAAUACAGUUGCUGGCGACCGGCAAACGGGUGCGGAACACGUACGCAAUCUACCCAAAACUGGUGAAUAGCCCUCCGAAAGGAGGAUUAAUACACCGUAACUUAUGGAGGUGGCAUCACCAUCAUAAUAUAGCUCCGGCGGUUUUGGAUGAGCGUGCGCCUGAUUAGGUAGUUGGCGGGGUAACGGCCCACCAAGCCUGCGAUCAGUAACUGGUGUGGGAGCACGACCAGUCACACGGGCACUGAGACACGGGCCCGACUCCUACGGGAGGCAGCAGUAAGGAAUAUUGGUCAAUGGACGCAAGUCUGAGCCAGCCAUGCCGCGUGAAGGAUGAAGGUCCUCUGGAUUGUAAACUUCUUUUAUAGGGGAAGAAAUCCUGGUAUUCCUACCAGGUUGACGGUACCCUAGGAAUAAGCACCGGCUAACUCCGUGCCAGCAGCCGCCGUAACAC